GGUUUUGGAUCGUGUUUUGACAAAGUGAGAACUUCGUAUGAAGACUGCUUGAAGGAAAUGACUUAAAGACAUGAUAAACAUGCAGAGGCUUUAAUUAAACCAAGUUGACGUUAGCUUUCCACAAUUGAUUUUGAAGAAGAGGAAGAUGCGGUCGAUGGGUAAAAAUAAAUCCAUGUGCGUGGGUGGGGAAUAGGGAAGGAAGGCGCUUUAGAAAUGACCACAUGGAAAGUGAGGAAGGGGCCAUGAGUCAGCCCAUGCCUGACCAUGGGAGGGACAGCCAGCCUGGUCGUGGGGUGUGAGACACGUAUAUGGACAUCGAGGUGCCUGGGUGUCCAAAGGACAGGGACAACACUAAGGAAUCAGGCUGAAAGCAUCACAUCUGGGGCAGGGACAAAGGCAGGUGCCAAAGAGCAGGAGAACAGGGUACCUGGUGCAUAGAUACGAGUACAUACAUAAAUGUCAGCGGAGAUCAGGAGUUGUGCUGAGUUACUGAAAGGCAUGCUCAGUACAUCCACAGAGGAAUAUAUCGGUACAAUCAGUCUUCUAUUUGUGGCUUUAUUUGUUAUCGCUCAGAGGGCUUUGUCUCAUGCAAAGGGAUGCCUCCAAUUCUUCUUAAAAACAAAUCUCCCCUGUUCCCUGCAACGUUAAUAUCUGCAGCUUGAUAAAGCACCUUUUGAGCACAACCAGGAGCUCCCACCAGUGUUCUGACUGCCGUGUUGUGAGGUGACAAAUGACACAGCUAGGUCAGAAGAAUAAACAAGGCUUUUUCUUACAGUAUUGCUACUUAAUUUUAGUCUUUGUGCUAUUUCACUUGCCCGAUCUCUUGCUGAAACCUAAACCAGCAUGAAAUAACUGCUCACAAUAAAUCUCCCUAAUUUCAUUUUUGUUGUUCGUUUCAUAGACUUGCAAUCUGGACUUGGAACAACUAAUUCUAAAGAUUAAUAGCUACUACAGACAACAUUUACUGGCCCUUUUUUUGGCUGAUAUGAAGCUUUGCCAUUUCUGCAGGAGGAAGUAGGAUCUGUGCAUUACAGUUUUGAGCUGUAUGCUGAAGAAGUGUGGAUUCACCUUGAAAGGACAUAUUCCAGCAGAUAGUCAUGAUCUUCAUAUAAAAAUCAAAGCUGGCGUCGUGGGAACACACAUAUAUUGCCAAGUUAUCUCUGCUUCAAGAUUUGUGGUGUAGUUCCUCACACAAAAUUCCCACUGUCUUCAAGGAUGUUAAAUUAACAGCUUCAUACAUCAUCACUAAGAAAAGGGUCAUUCUCCACCUAUGGAUCUGUGCAAAUCUCCAUUCCACAAAAGGUAAAUGGGGAAGAUUCUGCAGACACAUGAACUGCACUCAGAUGAUGAUGUGGGAACGUGGCUGAGACUUGAGCAUCUCCCCAGGACCUGAGAAGCCUUCAGUAUCACACGUUACAGCAAGGAGGAGCUGAGGGAGAUGUAUGCGUGUUGAAGGGCUGGUGUUUUAUCCAGCUUGGAGAAUAAAGGCACUUCUGGAAUCA